rnacentral:lncRNA from 1 species
UACCCCUCCUGGUAACUGUCCUCAAAUUCAUGUACAGUUUUCAUGGAGCACCCCUUAAGUCUGAUUCUAGGAUCACCUCUCUCAAAUUCUAAUAUAAGAUACAGCAACUAAAAUAUACUUCAGUGAGCAUGUUACAAAGCAUGAAUUAGUAUUAAAGCUAAUUAUUUUACCAGAAGUUGACUUAGUGGUUACAGUGUGUGCAAAGUUCUCCUACACCACUCCUCUGCACAACUUUACUAAAAUUAUUUUACUUUACCAAAAUGAUAAUAUGAAAUCAGUAAAUGACUAAUGUUAUAUCAUAAAGUAUGAUUGUGUGUGUGUUUUUUAACACCUAAAUGUGAGUAGUAUAUUUUUUGAUCAUAGGCAUCACAAAACACAAAUUCUGACACAAGGGUCAUUGGUACUGUCUAUGAUCUGCUUGAGGUAAGAGUUUACCUGAUGAUGAUAAACACUAGUUUUAAAACACAACAUUGAAUGAAGGAAUACAUGUCUAUGUGAUGUGUCUUUGUUUAUGCUAGUCAUCACAGUCCUCAGAGCAAACUUCUGGUGACAUGGAUAAAGGUGGCCAUCUGAUGAAGGUUAAGCUACUUUGGGAAAUGAAACCCAAUGAAACAGUUGUUGCCAGCAUUGACCACACAGGAUCAUUUCUCUUAAAACUCUGCGAGUUUCAAACCCUCAAACCACACACGUGGCUUUGUGGAGAGGCCAUAGACUAUUAUUUAAGAACAAUGAAAAAAGAACUGGACCUGGCCAACAAAAUCUUUGUCUUGGACCAUUUGGUAACAAUGGCUGUUGUACUCGGACAACGCAAUGUCGUGAAACAUCAACUGAUGAAAACAGUGCGUUUGGAAGAGUUUGAUGCCAUGAUUGGUGUUGUGAAUGUGAAAAACAAGCAGUAUUUCAUUUAA